rnacentral:rRNA from 1 species
UAAGGAAUAUUGGUCAAUGGACGCAAGUCUGAACCAGCCAUGCCGCGUGAAGGAUGAAGGUCCUCUGGAUUGUAAACUUCUUUUAUCUGGGACGAAAACGGGAUUUUUAUCUCAAUUGACGGUACCAGAGGAAUAAACACCGGCUAACUCCGUGCCAGCAGCCGCGGUAAUACGGAGGGUGCGAGCGUUAUCCGGAUUUACUGGGUUUAAAGGGUGCGUAGGUGGGCUUAUAAGUCAGUGGUGAAAUCUCCGAGCUUAACUUGGAAACUGCCGUUGAUACUAUAGGUCUUGAAUUAUCUGGAGGUAAGCGGAAUAUGUCAUGUAGCGGUGAAAUGCUUAGAUAUGACAUAGAACACCAAUUGCGAAGGCAGCUUACUACAUAUAAAUUGACGCUGAGGCACGAAAGCGUGGGGAUCAAACA